CCUACGGGGGGCAGCAGUAAGGAAUAUUGGUCAAUGGACGCAAGUCUGAACCAGCCAUGCCGCGUGGAGGAUGAAGGUCCUCUGGAUUGUAAACUUCUUUUAUUUGGGAAGAAACUCCCGAUUUCCAUCGGGAUUGACGGUACCAGAUGAAUAAGCCCCGGCUAACUCCGUGCCAGCAGCCGCGGUAAUACGGGGGGUGCAAGCGUUAUCCGGAUUCACUGGGUCGAAGGGGUGCGUGUAUGGGCGUGUUGAAAUCGCCGAGCUUAACCCGGAAGCUGCCAUUGAUACUAUUUGUCUUGAAUACUCUGGAGGUGAGCGGAAUAUGUCAUGUAGCGGUGAAAUGCUUAGAUAUGACAUAGAACACCCAUUGCGAAGGCAGCUCACUACGGAAAUAUUGACGCUGAGGCACGAAAGCGUGGGGAUCAAACAGGAUUAGAUACCCUGGUAGUC
rnacentral:rRNA from 1 species